rnacentral:ncRNA from 1 species
CCCGCCCGGGUCCGUGGUUGCGCCGGGUUCCCUCCCGGCAAGCCGAUGCCAGCCGCAGGCGAAACGGCCCACGUAAGGCGACUUCUCGUCGACCGAUCACGGUGCGGCUUAGGAGUAAGUCCUGCCUCGACGGAGGGCCCGAUGCCCUCCACCCCGGGAGAAGGGCAGUAGUGGCAACCAACAUCCCGCCGCGAACCCCUCAGCAGGCGGAUGUGGGGACGAAGACCAGGUCGGCCGGGCGGG